GGGGGAGGCGAAGCGAGGCGAGGCGGCAGCGCGCGGCCGGGAGGAAGCCGCGUUAUAUUGUAGGUUUGGAAGGCACCCACCACUUCCAUCAGGGCCAGCCCCAUCGCUGUCGCACGCUGGGCUCCUACCCCGGAGCUGCAGCACACAAUCUCAUGUUACACAGAACCUUGACACGAGGGAGCAACUUUAUUGGACAUCAGCAUCAUUCUGACGACAACACUGUCUUCAGCACGGGUCACCAGAGUCUGGCAGGGUACACGAAACCCAAACGCCCAUCCUACCAGAGGCCAAUAAAAACUUACCAGUUUCUCUUAUAAGAUUUCAAAGUCUCAGAUGCAUUUCUUGGAGGAUAAAACUCCAAUCGU